rnacentral:lncRNA from 1 species
AAAUCCGAUUAUGACGUCAAAUUGUCUUGCUUUCCUUUGAAAUUCCUAUUGUGACGGCAUGAAAAAAGCGACCAUGCCUGAUGACGUCACAUAGAAAGAACACAUCUUUUGCAGAUCAUUCGAAAAGAAGGAAUAAGUUUGCCUGCAUAAUGUUAGAAAAUCAUUAGAGAAACAGAUUCCACCACCAAAUCUCGUGUAAUACGAUAUUUAUCCACUCUCGACAGUUAAAUUUUAAAUAUUUAAAACGCUCGGACAAGCCUCGCGUUUUAAAUUUCGAAAAUUUAACUGUCUCGAGUUGAUAAAUAUCGUAUUACACUCGAUGCAGUGGUAGAAUCUAUAUUUCUCA